GGAACACAAAACAACAUAACGGAACCGGUUGGACACUGUACAUGUUUUUUUAUUUUCCAUCUAAAAAUGUAAUCUUCAAUCCCCAAGAUAUUUACUAUCAUUUGCAUCAUCGUAAAUCGUGGGCUAAAGUUAGUGUAUGAUAAACACCAUUUCAUAACACCCGUUCAACAUAUUGCAAAAUACAGAUCCAUUUACAAACAUAUGAUCCUUAAUGCCCGACAGUUAAUAUGUUGUUCCCGACAGAUAGUCUCAGUAAUUCUCGACAGUUGGAUCGGAACACACAAACUACACUACUCGAAUUACAUCUUAGGGACAUGUUUACGUAGACUUUUUGGUUUUGUCUAACCAAAGUCAUCCCUACAAAAUACCUAACUAUACAAUACUUAUUCACUACAUUCUCUGGGUGUCACUUCAGUCGUCGUCGACAACAACUGAACCAUCUUCCCCGCUUCCUCACCUGACUCGUCCGACGAGAUGAUAAUUACCUCGUUUGGUGCCUCUUACGCCAUCCAGUCAUCGUCUUCCGAAUCCCCCUCGUAUCCGGCGUCGAGCUUGAAGACCUCAUCGAGCACACCGUUCGGUGAUUGCGCACCCUCGUUGGAAACAUCUUCUAAGUUGGGAAAAGGACCAGGGGAAAUGGUUCUCCUACCAAUACGAGGGCUAACUUCCUCAUCAUCUAAUGAAAUGUAGAUUGAAAAUAAUGGAGAUGAACAGAGAACUGGUAGUGGC
rnacentral:lncRNA from 1 species